GACGAACGCUGGCGGCGUGCUUAAUACAUGCAAGUCAACUGAACUUAAGAUAGCAAUAUUUUAAGGGAGGUGGCGCACGGGUGAGUAACACGUAGGUAAUCUGCCUUUAGGUCUGACAUAACCUACCGAAAGGUAGGCUAAAAUCAGAUGAUGCAGCGGCUCGACAUCGAGACAGUUGUUAAAUCUUCGGAGCCUAGAGAUGAGCCUGCGUCUGAUUAGGUAGUUGGCGGAGUAAUAGCCCACCAAGCCUGCGAUCAGUAGCUGGUCUGAGAGGAUGAUCAGCCACACUGGAACUGAGACACGGUCCAGACUCCUACGGGAGGCAGCAGUAAGGAAUAUUGCUCAAUGGCCGAAAGGCUGAAGCCGCAACGCCGCGUGGAGGAUGAAAUACUUUUGUAUGUAAACUCCUGUAAGAAGGGAAAAAUAGUCCUGAUUUAUCAGGAUUGAUUGUACCUUCAGAGUAAGCCCCGGCUAACUACGUGCCAG
rnacentral:rRNA from 1 species